rnacentral:rRNA from 1 species
UACGGGGGGGGGCAAGCGUUGUUCGGAAUUACUGGGCGUAAAGCGCGCGUAGGCGGCUUUUCAAGUCGAUUGUGAAAUCCCCAGGCUUAACCUGGGAACUGCAUCCGAUACUGGAUGGCUUGAAUCCAGGAGAGGGAUGCAGAAUUCCAGGUGUAGCGGUGAAAUGCGCAGAUAUCAGGAGGAACACCGGUGGCGAAGGCGGGUCUCUGGGCCGAUACUGACGCUGAGGAGCGAAAGCGUGGGGAGCGAACAGG